rnacentral:ncRNA from 1 species
UGAAAUGCGAUGAAGGAAAUAAGUACCUGCUGUAUGGGUGUCUCAGAGAAGUUCCGGUUGGUGCAAGGAACUGGCAAACGGCGGCAUGGGAAUACAUUCCGGAGCAGUAGGCUGAACGCAGACAAAGGCAAGUAGGCUGUGCCGUGUACGCACGUUACAGCGUUUGGGUGUCGUGGCUCCCUUUGGUUGCUGCACCCGCGAAGGCUCAUAACCGUGAGGUGUGAGCAAAACAGAGGUGGUACCGCGAAAUUUCGCCCUCUGC